UGUGUGCUCUCCAGGAAACCUCAAACU
rnacentral:piRNA from 1 species